GGGCCCGCACAAGCGGUGGAGUAUGUGGUUUAAUUCGAUGCAACGCGAAGAACCUUACCAAGGCUUGACAUCCCAUGACAGCCCAUGAAAGUGGGUUUUCCCUUAGGGGACAUGGAGACAGGUGGUGCAUGGUUGUCGUCAGCUCGUGUCGUGAGAUGUUGGGUUAAGUCCCGCAACGAGCGCAACCCUUGUCCUUAGUUACCAGCAUUAAGUUGGGGACUCUAAGGAGACUGCCAGUGACAAACUGGAGGAAGGUGGGGAUGACGUCAAAUCAUCAUGCCCUUUAUGUCUUGGGCUACACACGUACUACAAUGGGCUGUACAGAGGGCGGCAAGACUGUGAGGUCAAGCGAAUCCCUUAAAGCAGUCCUCAGUUCGGAUUGUAGGCUGCAACUCGCCUACAUGAAGCUGGAAUCGCUAGUAAUCGCAGGUCAGCAUACUGCGGUGAAUACGUUCCCGGGCCUU
rnacentral:rRNA from 1 species